rnacentral:misc_RNA from 1 species
AAUAUAUGAACAGUCGAGAGGGGGAGCUAUGGUUAGCUGUUUUUUUGCCUUGGACAUCAGUCAUUUGCUUAGACAUCUUUAGGUUGAGGACGACUUUUUGUAUUUCGACCACGAAAGUUACUAAUUCAGAAACUAUUCCGUAAGUAUAUUGCAUUAAGCAAGACAAUGCUUCCUAUUUGUAUAAACUUAGUUAAGCUUUGAAUACGCAAACUUAGAAAACUAAGCUAAUUGUUUUGAGUAAAAAGUGUCACUUCAAUGAGUUCAAUGCCAAGAGCAUUUUUACCGUUUGAAAUCUUAGAAUACGUAUCCCGUAAGGGUGGAUAUUUUCAAAUUCUACCCGGAACAAUUGACCUGGAGAGAGAGUGAUGAGUCAGUUGCAUUUUUCAGUUCGAAGCUAUCAAGAUGCACCAGCAGACGGCGCUUUCUAAAAUUAUUUUGAAAAAGACUGAGGUUUUUGGUUUGAAUAAGAUGUUUACUUCUACGCUGGCUGAUUUAUAUGUCUAGUAAAUCUAGUAGAAGGGAAAAAGCUUUAUUUUGAUGCUGUAAGAUUAUUUAUCUGUACGUAACUGAACACAUCCAUAAUUUUUUUUAAAUUGCAUUCCGGUUAAAAUAAGUAUUUUAGGCAGAUAUCGAUAACAAUAUUAAAAAGAAAAAAAAUCGAAGUAUUUACACAAAGCAUUUACAUUUCACUACAUUGGCCUUUAGGUUUUUGAUAGCAAAAAGAUUUGAAAACCCUUUCUAAAGCAAAGACCUAAUUUAAAAAAAAACCACUGUUAUCAAAUACUAAUAAUUUUUGUUGUCGUGUUCUGAGCCAAGUUUUUUCUGCGGAAAGGCCUACUUAAAACGAUUGGACAUGUAGGCAAAACCUAUUUAUAAUUCGCCUCACGUUUUAUGUUUGAUAGGACCGCUAACUCCUAGCGGUUGAUAUUAUUUUUAUGAUUAUAUUGUGCAUAUUCAAAAGUUUCCUUCCAAUAGAGAACACAAUGGCCACUCCAAGUUCUCCUAAACUUCCAAAAAACAUCACUUCUGGUAUUGAAGAAUUCGAAAAGAAUAAACUUAAACAUACCGAACCGAAUGUAAAGAAUACUUUACCUGAUGAGAGCGGAUUGAAAUUCUCGCAAAAGGAAGAAAAAGAGGCCGUUAUUCGAAAUGAAAUUCUAGGCUUUUCUAGAGACAACUUGAAACAUGCCGAUGUCAAGGAAAAGAAUCUUCUCCCAAAUCAAGAGGCUAUUCAAAUGGAAGCAAAGGGAGAGAAGGAGGCUCCUUUACGAGAUGAAUUAAGCCACUUUGCUAAGGAAAAGCUUAAGCAUACAGAAACCCACGAAAAGAAUGUUAUGCUAGACGCUGAUCUAUUCAAGAUGGCGCAAAAGGAGGAAAAAGAGGCUCCUUUACGUAAUGAGUUGAGUAACUUCUCGAAAGAUAAACUCAAGCACACGGAAACCGUUGAAAAGAACAAGUUGCCCGAUAAGCAAGAAAUCGAAGCUGAGAGAAAGGCUGGACAAUAACUAACCAGAGAAUUUACAUCAGUCCACUCCAAUAUAAAACCUAUAUGAUUUCCGUAGCGAACAGAGCUUUCUAUUAACUUUUUAUAUAAAAAGUACAAAUGUCGUUCAACUACCUUAUAUAAAUUCAUAUUUUUUUCUAUUCGCAUAUUUUGUAAGCAUGCGAUUGAUUUUCUAUCUGUUUCUGGUGCUUGGUAGAUAAUGCUUGACCAUAUUUCUACUCUAAAUACAUUGAGGACAUUGUACAGCUUUGUUUUUAUUAAGCUAAUUCUUCCGCGCCCAAGGAUGACUCAUCG